CGCUCGGAGCUCCUCUUCAUCCUCUUCUUCUUCUUCUCCCCCCAGCUCCUCCUCCACUUCAAACGGGCAGAUGAUCUCACCAUCCCGGACGCAGCAGUUAUAGGCCGACCCUUCCGUCACCAACUCAGGGUUCAGAAGCCCGAGCUGCUCGACAGCAUUGUCGAAACCCUCUUUGAAGCAGGCCACAAGAUCUUGGUUGAGAGUCCGAAUAUGCCCUAGCAGCUCACCGCGCGAGCCAAAGGCGCGUUCCUCCUCGGUCUCAUCUGCCAGAGGACGGACCUUUCCCUCGAGAGACUCAACCUGAGCCCGUAGGUAGGCGUUGUCCUCGGUCAGCUUCUGAUGGUCGACCACCUGCUCUUCCAGGCUCGCCUUAGCAGCCUUCAACUGGUCCCUCUCCC
rnacentral:lncRNA from 1 species